AGCAUCUUUGUGACCUCUUUUAGAACUUGCUCCAGCAGCUCCACGUCCUGCUCAUGUUGGGGGAUACCAGAGCUGGAUCCCACCUGAGAUCCAGGCGGGAAUUCAGCCGAGUGAAGUAGAGGGGAAGAAUCAAAUUGGACUGCACAUUAUAUUUGUGGACUUAAAAACAGCAUUUCGUAGGAACUGUGGAAGACCAUGACCUAAAAAAGCCAGCAAUUGCAAGGACACUGCUCCACGGUGAGGAUGGGGAAAGUAGAAACAUCCCUCUGAACAAGUCACCACAGUGAGGAUGAGGAAGAUGGAAACAUCUCUCUGAAUGAGCGGGUUGUGGAGUCCAGAAGAGGAAAAUUCAGUCUUGGGAGUCUUCAGAAAUACUACAGGCUAAAGACCACACACCAGCAUGCUGUGAAGACAACUGUAGCUCCAGCCUCAGUAUGGAUGACUGGUAGGAAUGGUGGUGUCAAGAAACUUUGACCAGUGUCAGAUUUUUUUUUUAAUUUAGAAGUCUAUAAACCUUCUCUUCUGCCUCCAAAACACCACUUUUUUCUAUCUUACCCUUGCAAGCAACCAGCAAAAUUAAAAGGUAUUGAAGAGACACAGAACAUGACUGAGCUGCUGGUGUGGAGCCUGGGCUGUGGACAUGGGGGCCACUGGAAUAGGAUGUCCCAUGCCACCACUGGCUUUGCAAAUUCCCUAAACAUCAGCUUGUCAGUUUGCUGAUCACAUCUGUCCCACAGCUAUUGGAUCCACACACUUACCCCUGAGCUAAAGAAACUGCCCUGUGCAGCACCCCAGGGUACCCUCAAAGGACAUUUUCCAAUUUAAGAAAAAACUUACUCCAUGUUAAAAGCAAACAAGCAGCAUCCCACAAGAUGCCCACAGAACCUCAGCCUAUUUUAUUAUCUUCCUAACAAUUUUGUCUGCUCUGGAUAAAUAAAAGCUCUCCUGACAUGUGAAAAGGUACCUGAAUGGAGAGAGCAGGUUGUUCCAAGGACCAGCUGGUCCCCCAAGUCCUAGUUCUCUUUCCCACGCCCUCCAGCAUCUCACUGAGAAACUUCCCCAACUGGGACACAGUCUGCUCUGCCAGGGGCUGCAGGAGAAGCUGCUCACUGCAGGUGGAGGCACGUCAGGAAAACUGCCAAGCAAGGCAUUAAGCAAUGACCAACAAGCAAACAAGAGUGCAAAAUGCCCACCAGCUGCAGCAGGAGCAGUGUGGAGGAGCCAGCUAAUAUCCUACAGCUGCUGUGUGUUGCAGUAACACCAUCUCCUCCUCGGCUUUCCUCUGCCCACAUCUUUCACCUUCAUGGGGCUGUGGCUGGGAUUUGGAAAUCCAGGAGGUAGGAGUUCUGCCUUGGUUUGCCCUGGUGUGCUAUCACAGGCCCCUGGGAAUAUUUGCCCACAAACAAUGACCAGUUACCCUCUCCUGACCCAACUCAUGGCUGGCAGGCAGGAUGACAACACAUCACCUGCAGUAGCUCUUGCCAUCACAGCCCCUUUCUGUAGCCAAAAUCUCAGCACUGGCAGAGACAAUGAAAGGAAAUCAAGCUCACACAUUCCAUACACAUGGUCAAACAGCCUGGGGCACCACGCCAUGGAGGAACAGGCAUGGGGACAGGCUGAGGGGCCACAACUCUGCUGUGCACACCAGCCCAUCCUCAUGCUGGGACCUCCAAGGAAAACCAGUCUGAAAUGGGGCAAACCAGGGCCUUCCUUAGUUUGAGUCCUGCUAAAGAGCAGAUUGAGCCAGAUUCAGUUGUUUCUGCCAUCUCUUCUCCACACCUUUUUUGGGAGGCACAUGGAUACUUCUAGGGCAGAGAAGAGCCCAUGGAGUUUGGGACUUGCUGUUGACCCUGCUUGGAGCUGGAAGUCAGAAUGAAAAACUCCCGAGAUCCCUUCCAGCAGGUCCCCUAAAUUAUCCUACAAUUCUGAUAACACCCCAUUAGUCUUCCACCCCAUACUCUGCCACCCUUGGCAGGAAAAGCCCACCCCAGUGAGGAGAGGGGCACUUGGCAGCCCUUUCCCCACAGUCUGGGCAUAUGAGGCAGGACUUUCCUCUCAACCCCUGCUACUUCUAGUCUCAUGAAUUUUUAUCAAACACUAAUGAUUUAAUUUCUUCUUACAUAUGUAGAACCUUGCCAUGAGUCUGAGCUUUUUGGGAGGAUUGUUUUGUUGUUUGUUUUUUUUUUACUUUAUAAUAAUUUUAAUUUUACAGGUUCAUAAAUCAACUCUUCUUCCUUGCUCUGCCCCACACCUCCUGUCUGGGUGUGGCUCUAAACAAAUGAGACCCUUGAAUGAAAAUUCACUUUUUUUUUUUUUUUUUUUUUUAAUUUCUUCAAGAAUUGCUCAUGUCUCCUCAGCCUCAAAUAUUUCAUGCAGGUUGUGCCAUGUAUUUCACAAGCUAAGCCAAGCAAAACACCGCCUUCCAUAUACACAGCAAAAAAAUGUUUUUCAGGCUCAAAGCAUUUCUGUCUUUGGCAGAAUCUUUUCUCAAAGCAUACCAAAGAAAAAGUAUGGAAAUGAAAUACAAAGAGUGGUUAAAAUAAUAUUUUGGGUAGAGAUGAGCCCAAACCAAACCCCAGAUUAGAAAGCCAGAUACCCCCCUAGAUACCAUGCCUAAAAUGAGGAGGUUUGUUGUGAUACUUGGAGAACGACUGGAAAGCAUUGCAGGUCUCCCACCAAGCUUAAUUUCCUAAUUGAACUCAUAAAAGACUUAACCCCUACCAGUCCUCACAGCUAACACAGAUCCUUUUAUAUUUAUACCAUAGAUUAUAUUUACCCAGGCUGGCCCUGUGUGGAUUAGAUGUGGGUGGAUGGGCAGAUGGGGGUCUGGCAUGGCAGAGAGGAUCCACAAGGCAAAGGGGCUCUGCUGAACCUGGGCAGGGGACCCAAAGCUUCCCUGGAUUUCAGUGUGGUUAUUUCUGCUAUUUGGAUCCAGCCCUUCACUGACGUGGGCACAAACUGUGGUGUAAUUUGGGGUUUCAGACCCAGUAUUUAGGACUGGAUCCAAAACUAGAAUGGAAGAAAUUUGGGAAAGAGGCUUUUAAGAGUUUAAUUUGAAACAGAAAACCCAUGAAACUAUUUUUGCCCUGGUCUUUAAUUGAACUAUUUUUUUAAUCCCCUAGUAUGCCUGGACUCUUCAGGCAUCCAGCAGCAAUGUCUCAGUAUUAAAUAGGACACUUUAUAGGAGUGAUGAAUGACUGACAAACGCAGCUCCCUGUGAACCUGCUGUUCUGGAGAGGUGCACAAACAGCACGUUACAGCUCCGUGUGUGCACUCAGCAGCAGCCACAAGGAAAGCUGACUUUAAGGAAAGCCUAUCUUAGCAGCAGAUUUCAAGAGAAUAAUUACACCUACUGAUCUAUAAACUCUCUCAGAAUCUGAUAAUGCAAGUAUUAGAGGCAUCUUUACUUUCUGUAUCCCAACAGAAAGUCCAUGUAUGUGACUGUAAAUAGGACAGUUUAAUAAAGUGUAUUUUACUCUCUAGUUUAAUAUUUUUAUAAAUCUUAAAAUAACCGUAAAAAUAUUUGUCUUAGUACUCGACAGGAUUUGGGCUUGUUUUUCUAUCAAUUUAGUGGUUGUAACACAGGUCUUAAAAUAGAGGGGGAGGGAGAGUGUUGUUUUGCUCCAGAAGCUGAGUGUAUACCCAGCACAUCAGCCCCGUUGUACAGAGCUCCUGCCACCAUGAGCCAAAACCAUCCCAGCUCCCUCCCAGAUAAGGAAGGACAAGUCCUGGGCUCUGGCCACUGCUCUGUUCCAUCCUAUACUGUGCCAGGGCUGCUCCUGUCUGGUACCCACAGCACAGGCAUGUGCCCAAAUCCUCCCCCAUCUUCAAUAAGCCAGGUAGCUGCACCUCUGUUCCUAAAACAAGGACAGGAUUUGGCUAAAAUGCUGAAUACUCAGUGGCAUGAAGGGUCCACAGUGCAGGAGGAAGAACUUAUUAAUUUUUUUUUAAUGUGAAAUAUCAUGUUUUUUGUGUUUCAAGUUGUUGAAUCGUUGCCUAUCACAGCUUGACAUUUGUUGGCUGCAGGGCUCACGUCCCACCUCUAAAGCAUACAGCUCACCCAGCACAAUCCCAGCUCUGCCCAACAGUGGUGCCAGCAUCUCCCUGCUCCCCUCACCAGAUUCUUGCUGCCACUGAUGCACAGGGACAGAUUUCUGUUCCUCUCAGCCUUCCCAAGCAGUUUUGGGAGCUGCAGGCAUCCAGGCUCAAAAGCAAACUCUGGAAGGUAGUUUAGUAGCAGAGAAUGCUCCUGGACUCCAUCAGCAACAUCCUCAGACUCAGUCACCUUUCAAAAAGACAAACUCCAUGAACACUGCUCUCAUAUACAUACAUGCACACACAAAAACUGUUAUUAGCUUAAUAGGGUGAGUAUCAAAAUGCAACAAUAAAUUAUCUGACAUCUUUAUUGCUUAGAAUGACAGAUUCAAACAAAGCUAACCCUUUAAUUAUGUUUAUAUAAUGUAAUUUGGCAGAAGUCAUAAAGCACCCCUUUGGCAAUGCCAGAUUAAAUAUUUUACAUUUGCUUGGGCAGCACAUUACAAGACUGGAAGCGGUAUUUCUGCCCAGUGCUCUGGAGCAGUGACUGCAACAGCGUGGGUAAGAACAAGGGCACAGAGGUUCUGGUCCUGAGAUCAAGGACCCCAACCCCCUAUCCCACUUUGUAGAGCUCCCCUUCCCACCCUCCCAUCCAGGAGAAUGACACCACUGACAUUUGCCAAGACCAAAACAAAAGGCCCUGCUGAUGCUAAGGGCACCAGUGGUACCUCUGUUUUUGAUGGUGAGGUUUCCUGGGCCCUCACCUCUCUGCCCACUGCAGCUUCUCUGAGUCCUCCUUCUGUGUACAACAGGAGAAGGGGACCCACUUAUGCCACAAAUAUUUUGGCUAAUGGUCCUUCAUGCCUGGGAUUUCAGAGAGAGGAUGAAGCACCAUGAGCUGUUCUGCAACACAGGACAGGGAACACUCUCAAUGUCCAGAUUCCCAGAGCCCAUUUUCCCAUCACUCCUGAGAACCUUCCCAAGAAAAAACAGGUCCCAUGGAGCUGCCCCUCCACUGCCAGCAGAUCAGGAACGUCGAUGGAGAUGAAUUUAGAACAAAGCCUCUCAAGAUCCAGGACAGCCACUUUGCUGGCAACAGACUGGUUCCCCUUCCCAAGGGAUUUUCCAUGAGUCACCACCACCAUGCUGGGAAUCUCAGCUCACUCUCAGCCCUCUGAAAUCCACAUGCCUGCUCUGACCAUGGCCACCUACUCCAACAUAUCUAAAUUCCCCACUGCCAAGGACCACCUCAGCCUUAAGGGUCUUCUAGAGACCCUCUAGUGUCUCUAGACCCCUCCUCUGACUUGGUUCUGCUGCUACAGUGGUAGCACAACAUUGAUUUUCAUAAGCAAUUACAGCACAGUAGAAUCCAGUGCAGGGAGAACGUGGUUGUGUCUUUCUGCAGCCAGUGGGAUGGAAAGCUGCAUUCACAGUGUGCUGGAGCAGCCAGAAUAAACUUACUGUUGCCCUACUUUGCUUAAGUUCAGACUAUUUCACACACAUGUUGCCCAGCAUACUCUUUGUAUAAUGUAAAGUAGGUAUCAGUUUCAACUGCUCACUAUGAACAUCAAUUUGGAUGCUGUAAAGAGGUGCCUAAACCUCUCUUCACUGUUAUAAUUAAGUGAUGUUUGUGAAGAGAUCAAUAAUCAAUGAGGAUACAGGACAGGCAACAGGAACUUUAACUUCUUCAGUAACAUGUAGAGCCAGAUGGUACAAAGAUUCACAAUUAAAAUAAAAAACCAAAAAGCCAACCUAAAAAUAAUUGAAGUGGUCCACAAAACACUGCUUAAUAUACAAUUCAUGGCAGAACUUUGCCUAACAUAAAGAGAUGAGACCUUUGGAGCACUAAGCAGAGCAAUUUACAAUUUCUGCAGUAUGUCAUGUUUGCAUCAAACUUUUAAUUACAGAAUUAAUAAAUCCAUCCAAAAUUUCUUUGGUUUCUUCAAAGACAGACUUGACUGUUUUGCCAAAGCACUUUCCCUUUUUUGCCUUCAUAUAAAUUACAGCCUGCAAAAAAAUAAGUCAAUUAAGAGAGAGUAGGCAUUAUGAAAUACUUCCCUUUGCACAAGUACACAGGCUUGCAAAUCUCAUUGAAAUUCUGUCGACUUGCAUUGCCCACACAACUUGCAAUCUUAGCGAAAGCCACACAAAAGGCUUCCCUCCCCAUUGUUUACAGGAGCGUUUUGGGAACGGGGCAUAUAUUGCAGGAAGGGAAACAGAGACAGGAGUGAAAUGUAGUUUGUUGAGCUAAUAAAACAGCAAGCCUUCCACUUGUUUCCUCAGUCCUAUAGAGCCGUUCCUGUUGAAGACUUACACGCUCCACUGUUCGCAGAGCUGGUGACAAGCAUUUUCACUGCUGACUGGUAAAGCUUGUGGGCUGGUCGUGUUUUAACUAUGAGAAUGUUUCCCAGCCAUUAUUAAUGGCAAUGGCUUAAUUAAUUAUUUAAGAGGCUGAUUGAUAUAUGACAACAAAGGGGCAGAAAGCCCUGAAGGGACCUGCUGUACCUAACUAGCUAAACUCCUCAAGAGAUUACAGCAACCCCAGAAAAACAUGAAAUUCAUCUAAAUUCAGGGGAUUCUGAAGUUUGCGAGGCAUUUGGCCAAAAGCAAUCCAAAUAUUUUCAUAUUCCUUUACAUAAAGUUACCAGUACUGCCUAAUUACAUGAGUAAUAAGAGACAACAAAGUCUCCUUCUCCCACAUUCAGAACACUCUUUCAUGCAGCAAGGAACGGUAUAUAUUAAAUAAUUAAGACGGACAUCAAUGAAAGCAAGAAGGGGCAUGAGCUUGGAAAAUCUGCCAAACCAUUGGGGCUUCUGGCAGAACACCCUGAAUGUCUGGGAUCUACUUAUUCAAAUGUGGGCAUCAAACUUUUCCAGGGAGACAGCCCACGCAGGUCAGCAGUCACACUAGACCACAGGACAGCAGCUGCCUCCUGCUGCCCUUGCAGGUGAACUUCCCACUUCAGCUCCAAGACAGCUGUGGCAGAGAAACUGAACACAGAUGAGACAAACUCUCUAACAAAUAGCUCAGAAAAAAGGUACCAGAGAUUCCCAGGCUCAUGUCCCAGGAAGUAGGGUUGCUCCUGCCAUUUCUAGGGGGGCUACAGACCAUUUCUGAAGACACAGCUAUAUACAGAUGGGAAGAAAAGCCCAGGUGUGCAGGAGUUCAUUGUUUCCCCCUACCCCAAAUAUUCAGAUGAAGUGAGCAAGGAAAAUCUAACUUUACUUGGUUAGUGACCUCAGACCAUCAUGACUGCAGCUGUGUAAUGCUGCUCCAACAAUUUGCAAUGCCAAUUCUCUGAAACCCACCGAAGGUAAAGGAUGCCUUCUGUUCAGCAGAAAGGACUGUGUCAGCUCCAAACUGCCUUUCUUGCCACUUAGAAAUCCUAGUUUAGUCCUUCACUGUUUUCAGUUUACUCCUUCACUUUGCUCCUGUUGAGGAGGAAAGAGAGAAGAGAUAAAGAGUUAAAUCUAGAUCUUCAAUAGGACAGUGAUAAUUUGCAAGAGAGGAUAAUGCCACCAACAGGUGAACUCAGGUUUUUUCUGAUUUACACCAGGGAUGAGAUUCACCAUCAGCAGGUGCUCUCCUCAAUAACCAGGUGCCUUCAGUGUGGUUUAUUUCUGAGCCCCACAUUUACACCAGAGUAACAGGAGAAAGUGUCUUCUUCUGUGAAAACUCAUCUUUAUUUGGUUGUGUACGUGGGGACUGGGUGAAGUCGUGAAGGUUUUCAGGAGAAGAACCAAGAAAAUAAGUUCUCUUUUCCACAAGAAGAUCCUUUCCACAGAAGCAAGACUUUGAACAUAGUCCCAGAUAAGAAGCUCUGGUGAUACCCCAGCCUGAGGCAGCUCACUGCUAACUACAGCCCAAACAGAAGACAGUCAUGGCAGGAGGGAUUGCACAGGAGGAAAUCCCACCAACGACCUAGAGCUUUUCAUACCAAGACCACUGAAGAAACCACUCAUGAAAUAUGUGUUUCUCACAGCAGAACCUUUUGCAAAACCUCUUCAGCCAGUCACUGUCCCUUGCUGCCCUCUGCAUCCCCAGCAGCUCCUCCUCACCCACUACCCAGCUCUGCCACCAAAAACUUCCACAUUAAACUUCCCACAUCACUGUCACAACUCCUGUGCUUACAAGAACCUGGCAGUGCCAGCCCACACUGUGCCUGGCCGGGUGCCUAAUGCCCAAGUAACCUCCCAAAUGCUUUUGAUCUAUGCUUGCAGAUGCUUUAGAGCAGUUGCCUGUAAAGGCUGCUUUGCAGAAUCAGCCCUGACUGCACCCCUGGGGCUCUGGGGUUUGGAGCAGAGCUUUCUCCAGGUGAACCCACUGGGGAUUGCUGGAUGGAUGAGACAUUUCAGCUGGGUAGAGCUCCACUCUCUCUGCUGCAGAGAGCUGCAGCUCUGGUGAACCCUUCCUGAGACCUGUGGCUAUUGCUCUGGGCUGUUCUUCAGCUUCACAGCAGGAAUCAGACCUGUGGGGUCACUCUUUCCCCCUAACCCUGGAGUUGGACCAUCAGAUAUAAGCCGUGGACUCUGCAGUCUUUGUUCUGGUUCCCUUCAUGAGGUCUCAAAAAUAAUCAGCUGCACCAAGUUAUGCAAAAAUCUCACUAAUUGAUGAGCUACUGCAAGUGGUGAAUUCCAGGUAAGACAGACCUGAGAGGGGGCUGUAGUGAGAUGGGUGUUGGUCUCUUCCCUCAGGUAACAAGAGACAUGAUGAGAGAAAAUGGCCUCAGGUUGUGCCAGGGGAGAUUUAGAUCAGAGAUUAGGAAAAAAUGUCUUCACGGAAAGACUUGUCAAACAUUGGAACAGGCUGUCCAGGGAGUGCUGGAGUCACUGUCCCUGGAAGCAUUCAAAAAGCAUUUAAUGUGGUACUUGGGAGCCUGUGUGCUCAGCCAGCUGCAGAUGGAAUGAAACUACAAUGGGAAUAAAGAGAAACCUCCGUCCAUCACACAGAUUUUGCCCUCUGCUGAUGGUAUCACCAGCAGCCUGUUUAAUGGGCUAUGGGUAAAAUCUUUAAAUCAGACAAGGAGCCAACUAAGUCUGAUUUACUAGCAAGCAAUUUGCUUAAUGAAACAGAGUGCCAAAGCAGGAAAUAUUAAUUCUUCUUACUAGAAACACAAUACUAAUUAAAACAAUUGUAAUGAAAAAGGAAAACAUAUUUAAUGUUUCUCCAUCAGUCUGAAAAUAAUUUAUCAUUUGGAUGCUUUUAGAAAUAUUUGCUCCCUUCAGACCAUGCUGGGUUUUGAAUGAAAAUGGACUGAGAUAAUCAGUAUUUAAACCUCUACAAAGAAGGUUUCAUUCCAAACCCACAAAAAUACACUUAAAUAUCACCUCUCCAGUUAUGCACUACAUGAAAAUUUUGCUUUCUUAAAAAUGGAAUUAUUUAUUUCUUUGCUGAGUGGCAGCUGCUUGCACAGUUGAUUCUACUGAGAAUUUAUGCCUGGUGCAGGCAGAGGAAAGGAGCCUGGAAUUAACCUCUUGCUCUCUGCUACUGGUAAUUACCUUUGCCACAGAGUAGAGAGCACCAGGAGCAGAGAAUCCAGGCAGGACCCUGCCAUCAGCAGCAAUGGAAUAAAUCAAGAUGUGACAGCAUGAAGGGACAAAUAAAUCACCAGGAGAGAGGUGACAUGGGGAAGGACAAGAGCUAUCAGCAAUACAAGCAGAUGGGUUUGUGGCAAACACCAGCUAAGGAGGAGCUGCUUUGGUUGGCAUCAGUAGAACAUCUGGAGUUGGGCUGUGCUUUGAGGACAGGAAAAAUGAGACACAGAGAAAUAACUUUGAGUUCCCAAUACCUCUGAGGGAGCAAGACACCCUGUCCUUGUGCAGGGUCUUGUCUAAGCAAGAGAGGCUAGAGACAGUUCAAAGGCAUCCCAGAUCUUCCUCUUCUGACACAGGAAUUUACUUCAUCCUUUACCUUUCACAUAUAUCAGAAACAUUUAUACAAAAAAAAAAAAAAAAACAAAAAAACAAAAAAAAACCCAAACAACUUAUUUUUGAGCUUCUGCUGUACUUUUUGAAGAGAAAAAGAAGUCUGCAUUCAGAUGCAUUACAGAUAUUAAUAAGGAAAUGUCCAAAGAGAAACUACUUGCUUGGGAAGUAACAUAGAGAAGGGCUCUUCCAACUUAAAACAAUAGUGUGUGGGGGAAAUAAAGAGAAAAUCUGCUUUUUUGAUGCUUAUUUUUUUCUUUUUUUUUUUUUUAAUUGGUUGGUAGGUUUUUUUGGUUUGGUUUGAUUUGAUUUUUUUUUGUUGCUGUUGUUUUAUUUUCUUUUGUUUAGAGGAAGAGAGAAGGAAAAGCAGAGAGAUUUGGUUGCCGAGGGUAUCUCAUAGCAGUGGGUGGUAAAGAUGCCUCAGUGCUCCCUUGUGACAUUUUGGUGAGAUGAUGUGUUUGGAAGGAAAGUGAAAUGAAUGAAGCUGCUUCUCAGAAACAAUCUCCCAAGGUUUCAUCUUUAAUCUCUUUCUGUCCAUACUGCAAUAUGAACUCUGUGGAGAAAAUCCCAAGGUCAGCACAGUAGCCUUUUGGUGAUGCCACAGAGUGUAACCACAUCCCAGCCCCACUCAGCAGAAGCAUCUCUUUCCUGCAGGAUCUGGAGCAGGCUCUGGCUUUACUCUUGUCCUCCUUGCUGCCAAGCCACGAUGGAAACACCCACACUGGGCUGCAGGUUUCUCCAGCAGGGAGGACACAAGCACAAGGCUGGGAUGUUUUAGCAGGAAGGGGCAACUGCCAGGCAGCUUGGUAGUUAGGGAAGAGAAAUCUCUUCUUUGCUGGAAAAAGUGAACAUGCACAAAUGGGCUUGCUCAGCUCCUCUCCCCUCAUCCCACCAAGGCAAUAACUGGAUAGUUUUUGUACCACCAAGAUGUUUGUUUCUGGUUUGGUUUCUUGUCAAGCACUUGAAGACCAGGACACACUUACAUGUGGUGAAUAGCAAAUGCCAAUGAUCAUUGCAAGGAUGGAAGCUACAUAAAACAGGGGAAGAAGAAACAUGGCAAUGACUGAGUGAAGAAAAACCAUUCAACACCUGGAGGACAACAGGGCCAGGAUCCAUUUAGAGGCCAACAGGGGGCUAACAUUAUGUAAAAUAUAAAACAAAAACAAAAACAAACAAAAAAACACCAAACCAAAAAAACACCAACAAAAAACCAACAAAACCAAACAUUGAGUAUUUUGGGCAAGAUUCUCACUUUGGUUUGUGUGCCACAGCACUAUUGAGAUCAAUAGCUUUUAAAGUCCUAAGCAGCAUCCAAUGAUGUUGUCAGUAUUAGGCCUUGAGAAGAUUUGUUAAUGAGGUAUGGCAAGAGAAGGUGCUUUAAAUUAUCAUUAUUUUUUCUUGUAACUACUUUGAAGAACCCAUCUCUAAGUCACAGAAGUCCUCCUGGAAGCUGGUAUGAGCUAAGAACCUUAGAGCCAAAAUCACAAGAUGCUUCAGAAAACUGCCCGUGAGGGACACAAACUUUCACACUGGAGAAUACACCAACCAUUAAUUAUGCUAAAAGAGCAUGCAGAGGUAAAGAAAUCCAUCUCACUGACCUGCUGCCCUGCUCCAGGAAAAUAUUUCUUACACUCCCUCCAGCUUGCGUUUUGAUUUUGUGGAAUCAAAAUCCUUCCCGACUCCAGCUUUCUGUGCCCUUCCCCCUGGUUCUUUUGGACAGAAUUACAAAAUGAUGGGGUUAAUAGAGCACAGAGCAGCUGCAGUCUAUUUGGAUUUCACUGAAGGACUCGAUACUGUCUCCUGAAAUCUUAUGCUCCAAAUUAAUUCAAGUUGGCUCGGGCAGGAAAACACUGUCAUGCUGACCAGAAGCUGCCUGAGGACUGUAAACAAGGGGCAGUGACAGGCAGCAAUGCUCUCCCUCCAGCACCAAGGGGCUGAGAGCUGCCUGCUGCACUUCACCCUCAUCAGACAUCCAGCAAAAGAAAAGGGGACUCCAGGAGCACUGACAGAAAGACCCAGAUGCAGUUAAAACAAAAGGAGGUUGCAUCCAAUUGAGCAGAGGUCAAAGGAAUUAAGAAAUGAUGGUAAAACAAGUCAGCUUUCCAUGGGAAGGGAAGAGGAGGGUUGCAUACCUAUGCUAGGAUAGAAGAGUUCAUAGGUGUAACAAAGGGGAAGAACCCAGCAGGCAGCAGUGUUAAUACCACUGCAGCUACCCAGCUGCCUGUCUUCAUUUUAGGGUGGAAUAAUUACUGCUCUCUUCCAGAGUGAAAUAAUUGCUCUGGAGUACACUCCCUCAGUAGGGUUCAGAGGAGAAGCAGCCCCAGAGCAGCUCGCACAAAAUAGAAUAUUCUAAGCAAUUUUGCUUGGUAGACAAGACCCAAAAUUCAAAUAGUUUUGAUCCAUAGGCAGAAAAUCCAUGUGGGAGCAAAGAAAAGGAGUUUUGUAGCUGAUGCAAUCAGCAGUCUGCCCUUCUUGUUGGUGUCAAAAUCCGCUGAUCCAUUCAACUGCUUCUAAAAUCUAGGGAAUUUUGCUGCCUUAAUAGGAGAGGAUUUGGUUUAGGCCAGUUCCCUUUCCUUCAAGGGAAAGGAAGGGGUUUUUUUACAUGUUCUUAUAUGAUUUGUAUGUGUUCAUCACACACAGUUUCCAAGUUCUCCAGCAGAAAAUAAAACUACAAGAAAUUCCCAGGUGUGUCCUGCCUGCUGUUUUCCAGGCCAUGUACAACAAUCUCACCUUUGGACUUCGUGGUAUUUCAGUUUUACAGUAUCCCAUGUGAAGUCACUCAUCCUCCUCCUCCCUGUCUUUUAGGAGAAAACCACUGCUGCACUGGAGGAGCUAGAGACUUUUCCUGAUCCUGAUUUGAAAUAUUCACACAAUGCAGUGACGGGCAAUUCCCAAAGCACCCAGGUGGCCAAGGAAGUAGAUUGUUCAAAUGGCAUUUAAAAUGGUUUGGCCAAUCAGCCACUGGUGUUCUUCCAAUAAGUUGUUAAUAAAUGAAUUCUCAGCUCCAUCACCUCCCUGGACUGAGCUGUGUGUCCUGGAGGAGUUUUGGUCACCUUACAGGAGAUUGCUCCCAUUAUUAAUUCAAAGACUGAGCUUAAGCCUGUUUGAACUCACUGUAGGAGUAAUUCCAGUUUCUCCUUGCCAAUCCAAAAGCCUCCCACCCAUUCCCUUUGAUACCAAGGUAGGAAAUUUGGAUGAGGCAGAGCUGGGAUGCAGAGUAGGGUGGAUGGCCCCUGGUGGAAAAAAAGCUACUCUAAAAAGGGCCUGAUUUUGAGUUAAUUCCAGCUCCAUAACCAGCCAGUCACUGGGAAUGUGAGACUCAGCCUUCAUCUCUUCCUGCCUAAUAUGAAGCAGAUGUCUUCUGUUAAUGAACCAUUUGCUAAUUAGUAACCACUUCAUUUUCUUUCCAUCAGUUCUCUUCUCUAGCUCAGACACAGAGAGGGCAGGCUGUGUAAAUAAGGCAGUUCCCAUAGAAAUGUACUGCAUGUAUAUGCAAUGCAAAGGCACUGAGGCAGGAGGUGAGCAGCACAGUUCCUCUUAAAAGAUGGGACACUUGACAGGGAUGUGGGAUAUGUCAUUCACCCCUUUGCAUGUCUUUUGACUCACCAAGUUGCUUUAGCCUCUGUAUUUUGAACUCAAAUCCUUGCUCGUGCCUUGUCUGUUCACAUCAUAAAUGCCAAACAAGGGGCAUGUCUCCAAUUUCAGUGUUUAGUAGAAAAAAACUGUGAUAUUUUCUACCACCAGGGAGACUAUAAUAGGGCAAAGCUUCACAGCAGUGACUUUACAACCCCUGUGACUGUGGAUAUAGAUGGUAAAAUUCAGGCUCCAGAGAUGAAAAAGUUAUUCACAGUAAAUGUCCCUUUUUCCUGGUGAGGGUUGCAGAGCAUCUGGAACAACCCUCAAAGUGACAGGCUGCAGCCCCUGAUGUGUUCUGGCACAGGACCCUCAUCCCUUUGCUCCCGAGAUGCUCCAGUGGGAGUGGAGAUCACCCAGCAGCUGGGACACACCACCCAGGACCCCUGAACUUGGGACCUCUGAAUUCCAGCCCAAAAUGUUGCAUCCCAGCAUCCCAGUUCAAUCAAGAGAGAUUAUUUUCCUCUGCUCUCUGCAUGAAUAACAUAAUGAUAGUUAUUAAUUAUUUAUAGGAAAGGGAUGACAUUUAAAUUCUGUCUGGGUCCCAGCCAUCACAUUGCAUCUUUCUAAUAGUUUCCCAAUAGAAACAGAUUCCUGCUCUGGCUGCCUUACUCUCCUUUCCCCUUUCCCCUUGAUACUAAGGGGUCUUAAAAGCUUAAAAAGCUAUAGCCAUGCUGAUUUUGUAAUACUCUGGAACUCUCCUUUUGCAUCAUCCUAAGGGGGACUUACACUAAUGUAAUUCUUGGAAAUAAAUUCUCCCCUCAUAAAACACCCCAAACUGUAAACCUUCCAACAAGCUCCUUACAUUAAGGCAUUUUAAAGUUUUAUUUCAGUAAUCAUCAUAAUAAACAACUCCAGUCCUUACAGAGCUUUUCAUCCCCAAGGAUCCCAGAGUGCUUCGAGCCACAUCAGCUACAGGCAGGGAUGGAUCUGCUGCCCAGUGAAAAGGUGGCUGUUCCCAGGGCUCCAGCCAGCUGUGCCAUGCUGUGAGAGAGAGCUUUGAUGCAUCUCUGCAGCUCAGCUGGUGCAGAAGUCCUGUUUGGAUGCUCAAACCUUGCCAAAGCAGGAAUGGUACAUGUCCUCCAGCUCUGCAGCAUGAAAUGGAACCAGAGUCCAGUAGCUGGUUACCAGGAAACAAGCUAUUAAUUGGGGGAUGUAAUAACUAACA